rnacentral:rRNA from 1 species
CCUACGGGAGGCAGCAGUGGGGAAUAUUGCUCAAUGGGCGAGAGCCUGACGCAGCGACGCCGCGUGAAGGAUGAAGGUCUUCCGAUCGUAAACCUCUUUCAGCAGAGGAAUACAGUCACUGUGCUAAUCCUCAUUGAAUUUACUUUACCUGCAAAGGACGCACCGGCUCACUCCGUGCCCGCCGCCGCGGUAAUACGGAGGGUGCGAGCGUUAAUCGGAUUUACUGGGCGUAAAGCGAUCGUAGACGGUAUGUCAAGUCAAGGGUGAAAUCCCCGCGCUCAACGGUAGAAUUGCCUUUGAUACUGGCAGUCUGGAGUGUGUGAGAGGAUGGUGGAAUUCCAGGUGUAGGGGUGAAAUGCGUAGAUAUCUGGAGGAACAUCAGUGGCGAAGGCGACUAACU